CCGCACGCUGGCGGCGUGCUUCACCCCUGCAAGUCGAACGGAAAGGCCCUGCUUUUGUGGGGUGCUCGAGUGGCGAACGGGUGAGUAACACGUGAGUAACCUGCCCUUGACUUUGGGAUAACUUCAGGAAACUGGGGCUAAUACCGGAUAGGAGCUCCUGCUGCAUGGUGGGGGUUGGAAAGUUUCGGCGGUUGGGGAUGGACUCGCGGCUUAUCAGCUUGUUGGUGGGGUAGUGGCUUACCAAGGCUUUGACGGGUAGCCGGCCUGAGAGGGUGACCGGCCACAUUGGGACUGAGAUACGGCCCAGACUCCUACGGGAGGCAGCAGUGGGGAAUAUUGCACAAUGGGCGGAAGCCUGAUGCAGCAACGCCGCGUGCGGGAUGACGGCCUUCGGGUUGUAAACCGCUUUCGCCUGUGACGAAGCGUGAGUGACGGUAAUGGGUAAAGAAGCACCGGCUAACUACGUG
rnacentral:rRNA from 1 species